ACUACUGACAUGUUUUGUUAAAGAAAAUCAUCUUAAUCUGACUCUUUAAGAGGAAUCUUGUUGGCUGUAUAUACUAGGGCUAAAUCACUGGAUGUUAUUAUUGAGCCAAGCAUUGAAACAGAGCCAGAAGACCUUUCUGCAAUAAUCAUGACACUAGUGAAGACGAUGAGAAAUCAGGCGGUGAAUGUAUUAGUGAUCAUGAUGAUGAAGAUAUUGUACUGAGAGACUUAUGAAUGAUAGUCACAAGUGUGAAUUUUUGAUGCGGAAGAUUAUUCUGGAAAUAUUAGUAUAGUAGGUGCUCCUUUAAUUCAUAUUAAUUUAUUAAUUUAGCAAGGCCACUAGUAUACAUUCUAUAGUUACCUUAUCUCACUAAGUUUCAAGACAAGAAUAUCUUAGGUUGUGAUGAACUGAAACUUUCUUGUUUAAAGCUCUUGUUAAGUUCACUUCAAAUAGCAUUGAAUUUUUUUGUGAACCUGCCUUCAUCAUGCUGGUUAAGGAAGUUAUGUUAUGGAACUAAGCUUUGUAGGACUAUGUGUGACAAGAUACCUUUGAAAGAUCUGCUUCACUACAUGGAACCCGAGAGUUCAUUAAUGUUGGAGAUUUUGGGAAAUUAAUUUCUCAGUAAUGUGUCUUAAGUUACAAAACAUAAAGUGUCUUACUUGUGGAACAUUGGUAGACUAUGAUGAAGAAAACAAUUAUAAUCUUUUUUUGGUUUUAAUAAUAAUUCCAAAUCAUU
rnacentral:lncRNA from 1 species